GACGAACGCUGGCGGCGUGCUUAACACAUGCAAGUCGAACGCUGAAGCGCAGCGUUUGUUGGGCGGGGGAGUGGCGAACGGGUGAGUAACACGUGAGUGAACUGCCCCCUGCUGUGGGAUAAAGCUCGGAAACGGGUUCUAUAAUUGGACAUUACCUGGUCUUCGCCUGGGGGUUGGUGUGAAGGGGGUUUUUGGUGGGGGAUGGGCUCGCGGUCUAUCAGAUUGUUGGUGGGGUGAUGGCCUACCAAAGCUUUGACGGGUAGCAGGGCUGAGCGGGUGACCGGUCACAUUGGGACGGCCAUACGGCCCCGACUGGUACGGGAGGCAGAAGUGCGGAAUAUGGCGCAAUGGGCGCAAGGCUGAUGCAGCGACGCGGCGUAAGGGAUGGAGUCCUUAGGGUUGUGAAUCUCUCUCGAUCAUGGUUGAGCCGCAACAAUGGUUGUGGUGAGGGUAGUGGGUAAAGAAGCGCCGGCUAACUACGUG
rnacentral:rRNA from 1 species